rnacentral:rRNA from 1 species
UGAGGAAUAAGCUUUGUAGGAAAUGACAAAGUGAUGACGUUAGUUUAUGAAUAAGCCCCGGCUAAUUACGUGCCAGCAGCCGCGGUAAUACGUAAGGGGCGAGCGUUGUUCGGGAUCAUUGGGCGUAAAGGGUGAGUAGGCGGAUAUGUAAGUCUAUGUGUAAAAUACCACAGCUCAACUGUGGAACUAUGCUAGAAACUGCAUGACUAGAGUCUGAUAGGGGAAGUUAGAAUUCCUGGUGUAAGGGUGGAAUCUGUUGAUAUCAGGAAGAAUACCAGAGGCGAAGGCGAACUUCUAGGUCAAGACUGACGCUGAGUCACGAAAGCA